rnacentral:rRNA from 1 species
CGUGUAGGUGGUCAGGUAAGUCAGACGUGAAAGCCUUCUGCUUAACAGAAGAAGUGCAUUUGAAACUGCUUGGCUAGAGUACGGGAGAGGAGAGUGGAAUUCCCGGUGUAGAGGUGAAAUUCGUAGAUAUCGGGAGGAACACCAGUGGCGAAGGCGGCUCUCUGGUCCGAUACUGACGCUGAGACGCGAAAGCGUGGGGAGCAAACAGGAUUAGAUACCCUGGUAGUCCACGCCGUAAACGAUGGGCACUAGGUGUAGGAGGUAUUGACCCCUUCUGUGCCGAAGCUAACGCAUUAAGUGCCCCGCCUGGGGAGUACGGCCGCAAGGCUAAA